rnacentral:rRNA from 1 species
CUACGGGAGGCUGCAGUGGGGAAUAUUGCACAAUGGGGGAAACCCUGAUGCAGCGACGCCGCGUGCGGGAAGAAGGCCUUCGGGUUGUAAACCGCUUUCAAUUGGGAAGAUGAGAUGAGAGUUAAUAGCUCUCUGAUUUGACGGUACCUUUAGAAGAAGCACCGGCUAAUUUCGUGCCAGCAGCCGCGGUAAUACGAAAGGUGCAAGCGUUGUUCGGAUUUACUGGGCGUAAAGAGAUCGUAGGUGGUUUGUUAAGUCGGAUGUGAAAUCCCGGGGCUCAACCUCGGAACUGCAUUCGAUACUGGCAGACUAGAGUUCGGGAGGGGUAAGCGGAAUUCCGUGUGUAGCAGUGAAAUGCGUAGAUAUACGGAGGAACACCUGAGGCGAAGGCGGCUUACUGGACCGAUACUGACACUGAGGAUCGAAAGCGUGGGUAGCAAACAGGAUUAGAUACCCGCGUAGUC